CGGGGGAGUAACACUUGGAAACAGGUGCUAAUACCGCAUAACAACAGAAACCGCAUGGUUUCUGUUUGAAAGAUGGUUUCGGCUAUCACUUCUGGAUGGACCCGCGGCGUAUUAGCUAGUUGGUGGAGUAAUGGUUCACCAAGGCAAUGAUACGUAGCCGACCUGAGAGGGUAAUCGGCCACAUUGGGACUGAGACACGGCCCAAACUCCUACGGGAGGCAGCAGUAGGGAAUCUUCCACAAUGGACGAAAGUCUGAUGGAGCAACGCCGCGUGAGUGAAGAAGGGUUUCGGCUCGUAAAACUCUGUUGUUGAAGAAGAACACAUCUGAGAGUAACUGUUCAGGUGUUGACGGUAUUUAACCAGAAAGCCACGGCUAACUACGUGCCAGCAG
rnacentral:rRNA from 1 species